rnacentral:rRNA from 1 species
GUAUGGUUAUAGGGGUUUCCGUUGGGGAUCUUGCGGAAGGAUCAUUAU